AUUGAACGCUGGCGGCAGGCCUAACACAUGCAAGUCGAACGGCAGCACGGGUGCUUGCACCUGGUGGCGAGUGGCGAACGGGUGAGUAAUAUAUCGGAACGUACCUUAUUGUGGGGGAUAACGCAGCGAAAGCUGUGCUAAUACCGCAUAAUCCCUUAGGGGGAAAGCGGGGGACCGUAAGGCCUCGCGCAAUUAGAGCGGCCGAUACCUGAUUAGCUAGUUGGUGAGGUAAAGGCUCACCAAGGCGACGAUCAGUAGCUGGUCUGAGAGGACGAUCAGCCACACUGGGACUGGGACACGGCCCAGACUCCUACGGGAGGCAGCAGUGGGGAAUUUUGGACAAUGGGGGCAACCCUGAUCCAGCAAUGCCGCGUGAGUGAAGAAGGCCUUCGGGUUGUAAAGCUCUUUUGUCAGGGAAGAAACAGCAGCUCUAACACAGUAUGCGAAUGACGGUACCUGAAGAAUAAGCACCGGCUAACUACGUGCCAGCCGCCGCAGUAAAAC
rnacentral:rRNA from 1 species